rnacentral:rRNA from 1 species
CCUACGGGAGGCAGCAGUAGGGAAUCUUCCACAAUGGACGAAAGUCUGAUGGAGCAACGCCGCGUGAGUGAAGAAGGGUUUCGGCUCGUAAAGCUCUGUUGGUAGUGAAGAAAGAUAGAGGUAGUAACUGGCCUUUAUUUGACGGUAAUUACUUAGAAAGUCACGGCUAACUACGUGCCAGCAGCCGCGGUAAUACGUAGGUGGCAAGCGUUGUCCGGAUUUAUUGGGCGUAAAGCGAGUGCAGGCGGUUCAAUAAGUCUGAUGUGAAAGCCUUCGGCUCAACCGGAGAAUUGCAUCAGAAACUGUUAGACUGGAGUGCAGAAGAGGAGGGUGGAACUCCAUGUGUAGCGGUGGAAUGCGUAGAUAUAUGGAGGAACACCAGUGGCGAAGGCGGCUCUCUGGACUGCAACUGACGCUGAGGCUCGAAAGCAUGGGUAGCGAACAGGAUUAGAUACCCCAGUAGUC